CUCAGCAGCUGCGCUAGGUAGGAUAUAAAAGAAGGUCUCAUUAUUAUAUAAACCCAAUAAGAAUACAUAGAAUACAGCAGUGUGACACAAGCAGUGCUUACAGACAGCAUCUCUGUUUCGUAACAGGUAUCCAUGUAUUUUCUCUUAGAUGCCAUAUACCAGAUUGACUUCUCCCUGGCAGUGACUGGCAUUUAGGGAGGAGUUAAAAAUUACUUCCUUCCCCCGCUUCAGCUUCAGUUCCUCCAGCAUGAACACAUAUAGACUAGGGCUUCAAAGGCUCCAGCAACAUUUCCAGAUGUCCUAGACACCACGUGGGUGUUAGUAAAACAAGGAGGACCAAAGAAGAGGUACCUAUCACUGAUAUAUUACUAUAUAUACUAUAUAUAUAUAUAUUGAUCGCUUCUUAUGCAAGUUUAUUGUUUACAGUUUUCACAUCAACUUAAACAUUCUUCAGUUAUCUGAAUGUAUGUAUGUAGGCAUUAUGUUACAAACUUUCCUUUUCUGAAGGAAACAUAAAUGUACAUAGAAAACCAUCAAGGCUGCAGACCCAAGCACUCAAAACCCAGGCGUACAGCAAACAAGUAAACAGAUUGUAAGGCAAAUAGGUAUACGGGUACAGGACCAGAGAGAUUACCACAUUACAAAGGCAUGAUGAAAUAAAGAGCUUACCCUGGUCGUGGGCUCACCAAAGGGCUCCAAGAGUCAGCCCUUACAUGGGGUCUUCCGGUCACUCAGGUGAAACUGUGUUCAACUGUGUCCUCUGCGGCUGACUCAGUGCUCGCCUCAGGUGGUCAAUCUGAGGUUCAGGCCACGAUUCAACAGUUGCCAUACACCGGGAAACGCCAGAAUUAAGUUGGCAUGGCAAAAGAAAAUAUUUUUCUCUUAAUUUCAUUCCCAGAAAUGGUGAAACCAUUUCUUUGUUUAAGCUUUCCAAACCAAUUCAUCUGAAGCAGACAUUCAGCAUGAAAAGUUUCAGCCCAAACAACUGAAACCUGACAAAGUUAGAUGCCACUGAAAAAAGGGGUCUUAUCAUGGGAAACGUGAGGCAAGCUUAAUUCCAGGCAGCACUACCAGCAUCAUUUAAAACACAGUUACAAUCAAAAUUUCAUCCUGACUUUACCUUGUAUGUUUAGCUAUAUACUGUCGAGAAG
rnacentral:lncRNA from 1 species